UACAUAUGUAUGUUAAUUUGCUUCUUUGCUUAUUUAGCGCAGCCAUGGCAGAAAAAAUCAAAUGGACUCAAGCGGAGAUUGAAAAUCUGAUAAAUUUGGUGCAGCAGUAUGAAUGCAUCUAAAGUGUGCAGGUUAUUUAGACCGCAACGCCAAAGCCCAAGCGUUUGAUAAAAUCUGCGAAGAUUUGGAAAUGCCGCAAUUAGACGUAAUAGAAGUGAAGAAAAAGUGGAAAAAUUUGAGGACACAGUUUUUGAGAGAGAUGCGAGAGUUGCCGGCUUCUAAAAAAAGUGGUUCAGGACUCUGCGUAUGUACACACCAAAAUUGUGGUGUUAUACACAAUUACAAUUUCUUGAAGCCCACACACAAAUAAGGAGCGGACAGAGAUGUUACCCCUCCGCCCGAAAGCCCAGGAGGCACCUCGUCUGAUGUCUCAAACUUUUCCCAGUUUAGCCCAGGAGCCCCAUCGAGUAUUUCUCAUUCUUCCCCACUAAGCCCACAAACGACUUUAAGUGAAUUUAUUGAUAUAAGCACUGAAGCGAGUAGCAGUGGCGCUAGCAAAGAGCCACAGAAGAAACGGGCAAAGGACGGUGCACUGUACAGGUUACCGAAGGAUUUGGCCUCAUUCAAAGACAGAAUCUGCGAAAAACGCACGAAGCCAUUUUCUUGGCUGGGUAACUUGGUAGCAACCCAAAUGGAGGAGAUAAUUCCCGAACAGCAAGACGACGCUGCGUGGGAGGUUCAAUGCCUUAUGCGAAGACUGGUGCAAGAACGCCUCAUCUUCGCAACCUGUUUCGUGUGACCUGCUUCAAGAUGCAAUGAGUGGAGUCUUUUAUAAAACUGAUUUUGAAUGACUGUAAGUAAUAUGGAUGUCCGUUCUAUAAAAGCAAAUCAAAAAUGUUUAUCUCUUUAUUUUUACAACUCCUUAUAACAAUUAGUGCUGUGAAAUAGAAGAAGUACCUGGAAUGUGUAUUUUUAUUUUUAUUUUAUUUAUUUCUUUUUAAUGUACAAAAUUUGUGAUGAUUUUUUUUUUUUACGAAAGACUGAAUUAUUAUUAUAUAAGUUAUGUGUAAGUGUAGUUUAGGAAAAAGCUCUUUAAUGAAACCAUUGAAGUACAAGGUUUUGUUUGUGAAAUUCAAACAACGAAAACCCGUGUACCUUAACUUUUUAUAUUGACUGUAUCUACAUUCACACAUAUAUCUAA
rnacentral:misc_RNA from 1 species